UGUGAGAGUGAUGAGUUGCACGGAGCAGUUGGGGUGUGUUGCAGUGGCAUCAACACCCCAACCCGAGCCAACCUGAGGACGCACAGUGUGCACAGGGGCCAUCUGACUCCAC
rnacentral:snoRNA from 1 species